rnacentral:misc_RNA from 1 species
GAUGAAGAACGCAGCGAAAUGCGAUAAGUAAUGUGAAUUGCAGAAUUCAGUGAAUCAUCGAAUCUUUGAACGCACAUUGCGCCCGCCAGUAUUCUGGCGGGCAUGCCUGUCCGAGCGUCAUUUCAACCAUCAAGCCCCCGGGCUUGUGUUGGGGACCUGCGGCUGCCCACAGGCCCUGAAAACCAGUGGCGGGCUCGCUGUCACACCGAGCGUAGUAGCAAUCACCUCGCUCAGGGCGUGCUGCGGGUUCCGGCCGUUAAACAGCCUUACAAAACCCAAGGUUGACCUCGGAUCAGGUAGGAAGACCCGCUGAACUUAAGCAUAUCAAUAAGCGGAGGA